rnacentral:lncRNA from 1 species
UUUGGUGCCACAUCUUGAAUUCUAUUGCAUUGUUGGCAUAUAUGAGAGCAUAUGAAGUUGAUUUCUACCCAGUCCAAUUACAGGAUAUUUUUUGCCUGAAAUUCACAUUUAGAUUUAUCAAAAAUAAGAUUAAUUUCAUUAUACAUUGUCAAUUUAUUUACUACAAUUAAAUUGACUUUAAAUUCUGGUAUAUAAAAGACAUUUUUAAGAAAAAUUCUUAUAUCUUCUUUAUUUUUAACUUUAUAUACCUCACCAUUUGAUAUGGUGACAUUGAUUGAGAUCAUUAUUUUGAUCUCUGUUAAAUAAUUUUAUAUUCCCACUCAUAUGUUGGGAUGUAGCUGUGUCAAUUAUCCAACUAUUUUUAAAAUCAGAAGAUUGAAAACUAAAUUUCAUAUCUGCUGAUUUAUUGAGGAAGUCUUUGAGCAUCAUUAGUUCUUCAUUUGACAGAAUUGGUAGGCAGUAUGAAGUUGAUGCUUGAUUUGCUAUUGCUUCAUUUGUAAUUUCAGUCGUUUUCUUGUUAUUUUCUUUCUUGUUUUCCUUAUCAUUGCCCUUUUUUGACUUCUUUUCAGGGAAUCCUACAAUAUGGUAGCAAUCUUUCCUUCAGUGACCAAAAAAUUUGCUGUUUCGCAGUAGAGGCUGGUAUCAAAUUUUUUGCCGCUUCUGCUGUACAUUCCUUUCUUUUCUUCAAAUUUCUUUGAAAAAAUGCAGUACUAUUUUCUCCAGUGGUAGUUGCUUUUUCCCUGUAAUUGUAUUUCUAUUUUUCCUCUUGAGUAAUAAGAUAGAAGGCUUGGCUCAUAGUUGGCAGAUCUGAAUUUGAUCUUAUGGUCAUAAAAGAUUCAUUCAGUCUUAACAGAAAUUGAUGGACUUUAUCUCUUUCUAAUUUCUGAUUAUAUUUAGGAUUGCAAUGAUGCAGAGAUCAAAAUUGUCUAAUUCAACAAAUUCGUUCCAUAAAAUCUUAAACUUAUCAAAGUAAAAUGAAACAGAAUCGAUACCUUGAUACAAAUUAUUCAACUCAUACCUUAAUAGAUUUGUCUUUGGUGCAUUCUGCUAUUUGUACCUUUCCUAGUGGCUUGACCGUCAGGUAUUUUUUUGCAAAUUUACAAUACUGGCAGCCAGACCACCGGGAGAUAAUUUCAAAAAAAACAUGUCAGCGGCCAAGCCGCCAAACUCAUUUCUGUUUAAAUCGGAAUCCACAAUUUAUUGUCAGUGGCCUGGCCGCCAGGAUAUUACCAAGCUGGUGACAUUACCUCUGACGAUGGCAUACCGGCGGACUGGCUGCCAGGACACCUUAUACCGGCGACCUGGCCACCAGCAUUUGCCACCAGAACUACACUGGUUUUUUGUAGUGCCUGAAAGUCCUCUCAUGCUUCAUAAGCUGUUUCUGUAUGCAUUAGUGUGGAAGCUCUUUGCGGGCUGACACCAUUAACUAUCCGGGACAAAACGAGUUCGUUGACUGUCUCCCACACUUCCAUUUCAUUGCUAUCUGAAUUCUUUGGUUUCUUUAUCCUCCCAUUGAUGAAUGAGAGUUUCCUCCUUGAAACAAAUGAAAGUCACAUAGCAUUGGUUCAAGUAUUAUAAUUUCCCUUACCUGUCAGUUUGUCUGACACCAUUUAGGCUCCAGGGUGAUCGCAGUCGCAGGAGGUGAGGUAUUAAAUAGAUUUUCUGUCAUGAAGUGUGGAGGCGUGUGCAGUGUGUGAGAUUGAUCUUUCUUCUUCUUGAUGCAAGUAACUUUUUUUUUCUUCCUUCUUGCCCAAUUGAAUUAAUACCUGGUUGAGUACUUUCGCUCGAAUCAGAUAUGAUUUCAGUGGGAGAUGUUGAUCAUUUCAGACUUUCAGUGGGAGUUGUUAUGUGGGAAAAUCCUUGAGGGGCGGUUUUCUUCUGCAACAGAAUCAUGGGACGCCGUCUUCUCAACUGAUACCAUGAUAAAUUCUAGUUAGGAUCGCCAAGAAUAUAAGGACGAUCUUGGAAUUAAGCAGUCAACGGUUAGGUCCCCGAAAUGCAGGUGGCGACUUAUUUUGGGGGAAAUCGUGGGUGUAAACAAAUGGAGUUAAGAGAAAAUUAGUUGCACACACAAUGGGAGAGAAUGAAAAUUAUAUUCAAAACAAUAUGACUAGAAAGUUGAUUACAUUCACUUAAAUAGGAUUAGCUGACUUAAUUAAAAAUUGAUAUUAAUUAAAAGAGGCUAUAAGAGGGGAUAAUAAGCCUCUUUUCGAUUUGUGCAGAUUAACAGCGGAAUUACCUGCACACACUUAAAUACAUAAAUGAUUGUAUAAUAAUAAUAGUAUAAAUAUUGUUAACAAUAUAAUACUAUUAUAUGAUUUUAAGGAAUAUAAUAUUAUAUCUUAUAAUAUUAUAUAUUGGACUUGCUUUUUCUCGAAGUUUACUACAAUAUAUGAAUACAGAGUCAAUUUUUAGAUAGUGUUUUACAAACAACUAUAGUAUAUGAAUAUUAAAUUAUAUUGUAAGCACAAGUUAUAUUAUAGAGUGAAUGACCAGAUAAUUGGAUAUAUAUUUGAUAAACAAGUUAUAAAGAAAUGACCAAAUAACUGGAUGUAUAUUUGAUAAGUAAAUGCUUGAACAAAUAUCUGAAUAAAGAUUUAAGGUAAUGAUUAUAACCUCAGAUAGUUGACCAGAUAACUGAAUGAGGGAUUUGCGUAAAGUAGUCAACCUCUGUAUUUGACCAGAUAACUGGAAGAAGGAUCAUUUUCAAUUAAGUGUUGUUUAGUUGUUUUUAGAUGAAAGAUAAAAACUAAAGUUAACAAAGAACAACACAAGAGAAUUUAUACUGAUUCACACAAACAAGGGCUAAUCCAGUCCCGACCAACUGUCGGAAUUCACUAGUCUAAAGAUAAUGGCAAAACCUUAAAGUAUCAAGGAAACUUUUUAAAACUUCUCUAAGCUUUAAGGCUAACUUCGCUUAGGAACCAGUCUUUUACGGGUAGACUCACACCUUAGAGUAUCAAGAAACUCUUAAUAACCUCUCUAAACUUUAAGACUAACUUCGCUUAGGAACCAGUCUUUUACAGGUAAACUCACACCUUAGAGUAUCAAGAAACUCUUAAAAACCUAUAAAUCUUUCAAGGUAGAUCCGACUUAAGAGUUUUUCCGGAAACUCUAUAAAACCAAACUAGAGCUUUAUGGUUCAGCUCAAAAACCUUCUCUCACACUUUGGUACUAUUGAGACAACCCUCUCAACCAAAGUGGAUACACACAAGAGGUGAUUAGAGGAGUGGAAUAUUUAAGCAAAUAACACUUUUUACUUGUAGAGAAGAACAAGAAGAUUAGAAGAAGUUGAAGAGCUUUUGAAGCUUUUGGAAAGCUAAAACACUUGAGCACUUGGAAGCUUGGAGACAAAAACGUGAGAGCUCAAAUGUUGAGUGAAAACUCUUUGAUUGCUUA